AUUGAACGCUGGCGGCAUGCUUUACACAUGCCAGUCGAACGGUAACAGGCCUUCGGGUGCUGACGAGUGGCGAACGGGUGAGUAAUGCAUCGGAACGUGCCCAGAGGUGGGGGAUAACGCAGCGAAAGCUGUGCUAAUACCGCAUGUGAUCUGAGGAUGAAAGCGGGGGACCAAGCAGCAAUGUUUGGCCUCGCGCCUCUGGAGCGGCCGAUGUCAGAUUAGGUAGUUGGUGGGGUAAAGGCCUACCAAGCCGACGAUCUGUAGCUGGUCUGAAAGGACGACCAGCCACACUGGGACUGAGACACGGCCCAGACUCCUACGGGAGGCAGCAGUGGGGAAUUUUGGACAAUGGGCGCAAGCCUGAUCCAGCAAUGCCGCGUGCGGGAAGAAGGCCUUCGGGUUGUAAACCGCUUUUGUACGGAACGAAAAGGCUCUGGCUAAUACCUGGGGCUGAUGACGGUACCGUAAGAAUAAGCACCGGCUAACUACGUG
rnacentral:rRNA from 1 species